rnacentral:tRNA from 1 species
GGGGAUUUAGCUCAGUGGUAGAGCACUUGCCUAGCAAGCACAAGGUCUUGGGUUCAGUCCCCA